GGCGUGAUAGCUCAUUUGGUUAGAGCGUCGGAUUCAUAACCCGGAGGUUGGGGGUUCAAUUCCCCCUCACGCUA
rfam:Candidatus Sulcia muelleri SMDSEM, complete genome.